rnacentral:rRNA from 2 species
GAGUUUGAUCCUGGCUCAGAUUGAACGCUAGCGGGAUGCCUUACACAUGCAAGUCGAACGGCAGCACGGACUUCGGUCUGGUGGCGAGUGGCGAACGGGUGAGUAAUGUAUCGGAACGUGCCCAGUAGCGGGGGAUAACUACGCGAAAGCGUAGCUAAUACCGCAUACGCUCUACGGGGGAAAGCAGGGGAUCGUAAGACCUUGCACUAUUGGAGCGGCCGAUAUCGGAUUAGCUAGUUGGUGGGGUAACGGCUCACCAAGGCGACGAUCCGUAGCUGGUUUGAGAGGACGACCAGCCACACUGGGACUGAGACACGGCCCAGACUCCUACGGGAGGCAGCAGUGGGGAAUUUUGGACAAUGGGGGAAACCCUGAUCCAGCCAUCCCGCGUGUGCGAUGAAGGCCUUCGGGUUGUAAAGCACUUUUGGCAGGAAAGAAACGUCAUGGGUUAAUACCCCGUGAAACUGACGGUACCUGCAGAAUAAGCACCGGCUUAACUACGUGCCAGCAGCCGCGGUAAUACGUAGGGUGCAAGCGUUAAUCGGAAUUACUGGGCGUAAAGCGUGCGCAGGCGGUUCGGAAAGAAAGAUGUGAAAUCCCAGAGCUUAACUUUGGAACUGCAUUUUUAACUACCGGGCUAGAGUGUGUCAGAGGGAGGUGGAAUUCCGCGUGUAGCAGUGAAAUGCGUAGAUAUGCGGAGGAACACCGAUGGCGAAGGCAGCCUCCUGGGAUAACACUGACGCUCAUGCACGAAAGCGUGGGGAGCAAACAGGAUUAGAUAC